AAAGUUUUAAGUUAAAUUAUAAACUAAUAAUCUUCAAAAUUAUAAAUAAAUUAUUAUAUUUAAGCUUUA
rnacentral:tRNA from 1 species